CGGCGGACGGGUGAGUAACACGUGGGUAACCUACCUAUAAGACUGGGACAACUUCGGGAAACCGGAGCUAAUACCGGAUAAGAUAUCGAACCGCAUGGUUCGAUAGUGAAAGAUGGUUUUGCUAUCACUUAUAGAUGGACCCGCGCCGUAUUAGCUAGUUGGUGAGGUAACGGCUCACCAAGGCAACGAUACGUAGCCGACCUGAGAGGGUGAUCGGCCACACUGAACUGAGACACGGUCCAGACUCCUACGGGAGGCAGCAGUC
rnacentral:rRNA from 1 species